rnacentral:rRNA from 1 species
UACAGAGGUCUCAAGCGUUGUUCGGAUUCAUUGGGCGUAAAGGGUGCGUAGGUGGCGCCGUAAGUCAGGUGUGAAAUUUCGGAGCUUAACUCCGAAACUGCAUUUGAUACUGCGGUGCUUGAGGACUGGAGAGGAGACUGGAAUUUACGGUGUAGCAGUGAAAUGCGUAGAGAUCGUAAGGAAGACCAGUGGCGAAGGCGGUCUGCUGGGCAGUAGCUGACACUGAGGCGCGACAGCGUGGGGAGCAAACAGG